CAGCAGCCGCGGGAAAACGGAGGAUCCAAGCGUUAUCCGGAUUUAUUGGGUUUAAAGGGUGCGUAGGCGGCCUGUUAAGUCAGGGGUGAAAGACGGUAGCUUAACUAUCGCAGUGCCCUUGAUACUGAUGGGCUUGAAUGUACUAGAGGUAGGCGGAAUGUGACAAGUAGCGGUGAAAUGCAUAGAUAUGUCACAGAACACCAAUUGCGAAGGCAGCUUACUAUGGUAUGAUUGACGCUGAGGCACGAAAGCGUGGGGACCAAACAGGAUUAGAUACCCGCGUAGUCCCUGUCUCUUAUAC
rnacentral:rRNA from 1 species